AGAGCGAACGCUGGCGGCAGGCCUAACACAUGCAAGUCGAGCGCGUGUAGCAAUACACGAGCGGCAGACGGGAGAGUAACACGUGGGAACGCGCCCUUCGGUUCGGAAUAACUCAGGGAAACUUGAGCUAAUACCGGAUACGCCCUUACGGGGAAAGAUUUAUUGCCGAAGGAACGGCCCGCGCCCGAUUAGCUAGUUGGUGAGGUAACGGCUCACCAAGGCGACGAUCGGUAGCUGGUCUGAGAGGAUGACCAGCCUCACUGGGACUGAGACACGGCCCAGACUCCUACGGGAGGCAGCAGUGGGGAAUAUUGGACAAUGGGCGCAAGCCUGAUCCAGCCAUGCCGCGUGGAUGAUGAAGGCCUUAGGGUUGUAAAGUCCUUUUAACGGGGAAGAUAAUGACGGUACCCGUAGAAUAAGCCCCGGCUAACUUCGUGCCAGCAGCCGC
rnacentral:rRNA from 1 species